rnacentral:rRNA from 1 species
GACGAACGCUGGCGGCGUGCCUAAUACAUGCAAGUUGAGCGCUGAAGGUUGGUACUUGUACCAACUGGAUGAGCAGCGAACGGGUGAGUAACGCGUGGGGAAUCUGCCUUUGAGCGGGGGACAACAUUUGGAAACGAAUGCUAAUACCGCAUAAAAACUUUAAACACAAGUUUUAAGUUUGAAAGAUGCAAUUGCAUCACUCAAACAUGAUCCCGCGUUGUAUUAGCUAGUUGGUGAGGUACAGGCUCACCAAGGCGAUGAUACAUAGCCGACCUGAGAGGGUGGUCGGCCGCAUUGGGACUGAGACACGGCCCAAUCGCCUACAGGAGGCAGCAGGAGGGAUUCGUCGGCAAUGGACGAAAGUCUGACCGAGCAACGCCGAGUGAGUGAGGAAGGUUUUCGGAUCGUAAAACUCGGUUGGUAGGUAAGAACGUGGGUGAGAGUGGAAAGCUCAUCAAGUGACGGUAACUACCCAGAAAGGGACGGCUAACUACGUG